GCGGGUGUGGCGGAAUUGGCAGACGCGCCAGACUUAGGAUCUGGUGCCGACAAGGCGUGGGGGUUCGAGUCCCUCUCCGCGCA
rnacentral:tRNA from 1 species